GGGACCUCUUUUGCAGGGUGCGAACAUUUUCCUAAAUAAAAAUGGGCCACACCACUUGUGUGAAGAACCCUUAAACCCUAAACCUGAACCUCCCAACACCCCAGGAAAAAAAAAAGAAAAGAAAACCAGACCACCACGUCUUAGCUCGAUCUGAAACGGCCAUGGCGACAUCAAACAAUUCAGGAGGAGGCCUGGAAGCCCUCCAGCGUCUGAAGUCGGCGGAGCCACCAGUCUAUCUGUCUCCAUCGCCGGAGCUCUCUCAGGCCGCACGGUUAGCCUCGGAGUACAUAUUCUCAUCCCUCAAACCCUUCACCCCCAAAUCACCCUUCGAUCACCUCUUGGUCAAUGGCUUCGACGCCGAACAGAUUUGGCAGCAAAUCGACCUCCAAUCCCACCCCCUGAUCUCGACGCUCCGACGUGAACUCAACAAGUUUGAGAAGAAUCCAGGAGAAAUUUCGAAGCUUUUUGGGGAAUUUAAGAUGGAGGAGGGGUUAGAGAAAGUGAAGAAGGUAGAUGAUUUAGAGAGAGAAAUUGAGGGUUUUGAGGGGUUGGAUGGAGUGGAAGAUGAGGAUUUGGAAGGGUUUGAUGAUGAUGAGGAUGAGGAAGGUGAAGACACAGAUAAUGAGGAUGAAAAGGAGGAAGGGGAGGGGGAAGAAGAAGGCGGUAGUGACGACGACAAUGGUGGUGGUGGUGGAGUUGAAGACAGGUUUUUAAAGAUUAAGGAAUUGGAGGAGUAUUUGGAAGAUGACGAGGCGAGAGAGUAUGGAUUGGAGAAGAAGAAAAAAAAGGGCAAUGUUAAAGUGCCAAAUAAGGAUGAAGAAGAUGAUGAAGAAGGGGAUGAGGAUGAGGAGGAAGAUGAGGAAGGCGACGAGCUUGGAAUUUUUGGGCCUGAUGUUGUUGAUGAUGAUGAAGGAGCAGAGUUGGAAAACGUCAGAUAUGAAGACUUCUUUGGUUCUAAAAAGAAAAAUGAUCAGAAAAGAAAAUCUAAACUGAUUGAUGGGUCAGAUGACUUGGGGACAGAUGAUGAGCAAGAAGAUGAAGAAGAUGACGACGAGGGCUUUGAUAAUCAGAAACAAAAUCUUUCUACCCAUGAAAAAGAACUAGAGAAGCUUCGAUCUAAAAUAGAGCAAAUGGAGAAAGCAAACUUGGAACCAAAAACUUGGACUAUGCAGGGCGAGGUAACUGCUGCGAAAAGGCCAAAGAAUAGUGCAUUAGAAGUUGAUCUGGAUUUCGAGCACAAUGUGAGACCUGCCCCUGUAAUCACAGAGGAGGUUACUGCAUCCCUUGAAGAAUUAAUUCAGAAACGGAUCAUCGAGGGGCAUUUUGAUGAUGUUCAGAAAGCUCCUAGUCUGCCAUCUAAAGCACCAAAAGAAUUCAAGGAAUUGGAUGAUAAUAAGAGCAAGAAGGGACUUGCUGAAGUUUACGAGGAAGAAUAUGUUCAGAAAACUGGCCUAGUUUCCGCAGCAUUGUCUUUCUCAGAUGAACAGAAGAAAGAGGCAAGUGUGCUGUUCAAGAAAUUGUGCUUGAAGUUGGAUGCUCUAUCACAUUUCCACUUCGCUCCAAAACCGGUAAUAGAAGAUAUGUCCAUACAAGCAAAUGUCCCUGCUCUGGCAAUGGAAGAGAUUGCACCUGUGGCAGUAUCAGAUGCAGCUAUGCUGGCUCCUGAGGAAGUGUUUGCUGGCAAAGGAGAUAUUAAAGAAGAAACAGAGCUAACACAAGAAGAGAGGAAGAGGAGGAGAGCUAACAAAAAAAGGAAAUUUAAAGACCAUUAAUUUUGGGCGACAUUAUUACAGCUGAGACAGUGCAAAGGACGGCCAUGAAGAAGGCACGAGAAAGUUCCUUGCAAGAUCAUGUUGAUGGCAAGGGAGAAUUGUGAGUUUCAGCCUCGGCUUUCAAUUUAUGAAGAGUUCCCUCUUUACCCUUACAACUUGAAUCUUGCUCAAAAUUUUGGAACUGUCAAUGGCAUAUGGAUCUUUCAAAUAUGGUUGAUUCAAGUUCAAAUACUGAUUGCUCGAUGCAAACAAGAUACAAAAAGAAAGAAGUGACAGCAAAAAUCAGGAUGAGGAAAGACAGAAGAGUAUUAGUUGAAUGGGGCUUGAUGUUGAAUUUUGGAUUUUCUGUGAUUUAUGAUUAUUACUUUUAAAUUUGGAAUAUCAGUUUUGACAUGAUAAUUAAAUCAAUUGGUUACUACAAUCUACAGAGUUAGGCUUAUAAAUUCUUUACUGCUUCUGUUAGCUAACAGUAACUUGUUUAUGAAUCAUUGUUUGGGUAAGUUUAAUCACAGUUAUUAUA